rnacentral:rRNA from 1 species
UGAGGAAUAUUGGUCAAUGGGCGAGAGCCUGAACCAGCCAAGUAGCGUGCAGGAUGACGGCCCUAUGGGUUGUAAACUGCUUUUACGCGGGGAUAAAGUGCGUGACGUGCCGCGCAUCGCAGGUACCGCGUGAAUAAGGACCGGCUAAUUCCGUGCCAGCAGCCGCGGUAAUACGGAAGGUCCGGGCGUUAUCCGGAUUUAUUGGGUUUAAAGGGAGCGCAGGCCGCCCGAUAAGCGUGUUGUGAAAUGUACCGGCUCAACCGGUGAGUUGCAGCGCGAACUGUCAGGCUUGAGUGCACGGUAAGCAGGCGGAAUUCAUGGUGUAGCGGUGAAAUGCUUAGAUAUCAUGAGGAACUCCGAUUGCGAAGGCAGCUUGCUGCAGUGCGACUGACGCUUAGGCUCGAAGGUGCGGGUAUCAAACAGG